CCAGUUCUCAAUUUAAUGCUUCUCUGAGAAAUAAGCUCUAAGGAUAUUCUCAGUUAAUCUUUCUCACGCUAUAUAUUUGUCCCUAAUGAGAAUUAGAGAGAGGCAGCUUUCCUAAACCUGGCAUUAAGUAAAGGUGAGACUGGCUUCUGACUUAGUGAUUCAUUUUAGCUGUGCUGUAGGUUCAUUUGAUGGUCUAUGGAUUGGAGGACGCAUCUCUAAAGGGUGAUCCCUCCUUUCUGGAGAUGCUUAUUUCUUUCCAAAGAUUAAGGAAAAAAAAAAAAAAAAAACAAGAGUGACUAACUAAGAUGUAAAUGAUUACAAAUUAAUAUCCAAAGUGACUUGUAUUAGGAAUGGCAGUGCAGUAGUAUUUCUCUGCUCAAACAGUGGAGAUAAUGUGGUAUGCAGAAAAAUGAGUGUCUCGCAUGCAACUGCAAGUAAUUCAGAUAUACUAGCAAAGGAAGUCAAUGCUUAUACCAACAGUAUGCACGUUUCCAGGACAUGAUGAUGACAAAAUAUUAGCGGUUAAUGGUAAUACAUGCUACAUCUUAAUUAAAGUAUCAAAAAAAAGUUGUGUAAAGUCAUGUCUCUCUGUUCAGCAGCUCACAUACAGGUGUUUGACAUCUACUGAGAUGUCCUGAGGUGUAUUAGAUAUGGCAUAAAAUCACUGGGAGAUCUGCAGCUUCUGGAGUGACAAUUACGUGUUGGUUGGGAUGAUGUGCCAUAGCCAGAACAACAUGAACUGUCUAAACUAAGUCAUCUUCCUGCAGUGAGAUGUCUUCCAGCAAGGGAAAAAGAAGAAAAUGUGGAAGACCAGAUGUGCAAACUUCACCUCAGUGUGAAAGAACCAGAGCCUGUCCUUUUAAUUCCAGUUCAACCCAUGCAUGAUGAGUCAGAUUCUGUGCAUAUGCAAGUCAUCUGUAGAACAUAUGUACCAUGAAACCACCACAUCCAGCCUGCAUUAACCUUCCCUUUCUAAUGCAGCAGAGCUGGGAUUUGACUUGGGAUUUGACAUUCUGAAGCUGUUCUGGUGGAAAGUCCUAACUAAAUGGUCAAAAUUUCCCUUUCCCCUCUGGAUGAAACCUCAGAGCAUCAGAAGACAGCAUCUUCAUGGAAAGUGGAGCUGUCAUAGUGUUACAGAAUUGUCUUGGUUGUCAGGGAUCAAGUGGUGGAAUAAACAACAUAGAGGAUUGCUUCUUCUCCAACUGAAAAGCUUCUACGUGGGAUGAAGGUUGUAUGUCUUCUAACACACCCUGGUGGCUUGCAAGUUGGUGUCCUUUCAGGAUAUGUCUGAUUACCCAUAUCUUUGGAUCAUGAGGCAAAAAACGCACCAGAACUGCCAGCAAUGCAAAUCCUAUGCUAGGCAAGGAAUGGCAGCAUGAUGUCUGAGGGGUCUGCAACACAAAAUGUCUGCGCUCUGUGACUUCAGCUUUAAAACGACAGCAGAAAAAUCAGUCCAUCUUGACCCAAUCAGUUCAGGAAUGAACUGAAACAUUUUUGCAAUAUAGCUCUCCCUCUGCGCUAUGAUUCAUACGACUAUGAAUCUCCUUAUGCAUGCUAGGACGAGGCAGCUCUGUCAGCAAUGUCAGAAUUAGUAGCAGUUGCAGGAAGAAGGGAUAAAUGUGCAUUAGCUCAACCACAAGUCAUUGGUAACAUUCCUCCAGAGGAACACAGGAACUGGUCCAUGACAUCCAGUGCUCUGCUAUCACAGCAAUAUGAUACCUAUAAUCAGUUUAUUAAGCUGCAUCUUAGAAAUGUACUCACAUAGUGGGGAUAAUUCCUUCCAUUCCGGGAAUCACUGGGUAAAGUUUCUAGACUGAGUUAAGAAAGGUCAGGUUAGAUUAUCACAGAGUGUCUGCUGGCUUCCACGUCUCAAAAUCUCCGUAGGGAUUUAGAAGGAGCCAACACAUUUUCACUUGUAAGUGAGGAUUUAAAUAGAGGUUUGUUAAUGCGUUCCUCUCUCUUUCUCUCCCUUUCAUCUGCAUGUCAGUUGAUCAACAUCAAUACAGAAAUAUUUCUCUUUCUUUCCCUUCCUUUCCUUCUUACUGCCUGCUCUCUAUCUCUUCUUCUUUUGUCUUUCAGAACUGAGAACACAGGAAAAAAAAAAUAAGGAGCCACAAUAGGGAAAGCAAUACAAUUCCACAGCCUCCUUGCCUGCCCCCCCCCCACCCCACCCCAAAUUCCACUCCUACCAAACUCCAGAAGAUUAAAUAUUUCAUUAUGAAGCAAAAAGCAGAAAAAUGGCAGGUCUGAAGUGUAGUUCUUACUAGUACUUUCCUGAGCAGUCUGUACAUCACUGCUCUCCUACAGAGCCAGCAGUUCUCUUGGGGAGGUGUGAAAGCAUGGAGAGGCUGGGCAGGGAUAAGAAGUGACGUUGGGUUUUGUUGCAUGUAUCAAAGAGCAACCCACAUUGCUAAGGUGCCUUGGAGGUGCUUAGCUAUUCAUAUGGGUACCAUUUCCUCUCUCUAUUGGAAAUAAUAUCUGGGUAUGGAAAAUCAUAGAUGGAUAUGGAUAAACUUUCUCUUAAACUAAAUGAAGAUCUGGAGGGCUCACAGGUACCUUCACAAACAGCCUCUGAGGACUGAGAGAAGGCAAAGCUGCACCAGCUUCAUCUAUGUGGUGCAGUAGCACUGUGAGACAUAUAUUUGGGCAUAAAUAUGGGAUAUUGAUAAGACAUGCACAGUUCUCAUUGAUGAGUGCUAAGCUGUCUCUGCUGAAAAUCAGGUACCUUAAAGUGAUUGCGAUUUUGUGUUCUGAAAUGAGCUAAAUUUCUUACUCAUGUUCAUAUUGGGAAAAGCUUAAUACCUUCGGUCUGAUGCCAGUGACUGUAUUGAGCAACCUGGCAAAGGCUCACGGAAAAAAAAGUCAAAGCCUUCAAAGAUAAAAACAACAACACCACCAAUAAUAAUACAGACUUCCAUAUGAAUAGUGGUGCCACCAAUUAACAAUAAGGCACUGGCCAUGGGGUGCUGUGAUUCUGUGAGGCAUCUUGUUGGUCUCAUCUGAUUUGUUCAUCAGAUUAGCCAGUCACUCUAUGCCUGAGCACCAAGUUCUUCUUUGCUUGCCCUCAAGUUAAGUUAUUAUUGAGGUCAGCAGAGGUAUACUGACUCAGGCCAAGUGAGAAUCUGGCACAGCAGUGCCUCAUACUACAGCUGUAUUUUCCAUGAUUUCCCUUUUUUGGGGUUUUCAACAGAAACUGCAAGUUUCAAAAGAGAAGGAAAAGUUACUUUCCAUGAAAAACUAAUGAUUCAGCAUCUUACAGGCAGACGGACAGUCAGAGGGACAGAAAACAUGGCUGAAAGAAGACAUAUCAGCUUCGGUUGAUUAUCUGUCAGAACUUUUCUCUGUCCUAAAUCUAUUCUUGGUCAUAUGACGCAAACAUGAUGAACUGACUCUGAUGAACUGCUUGCCACAGAAGCCAAAGGAAGACAAAUCCCUGUUGCAGGUUUUAAGGUGAAUUCUCUAAACGUUAGGCUACAGCCUCAGCCUCGUUUUUCCUGCUCCAGGUAAACCUUUCCUUCUUUUCACUGCACAGCUACACCUGGUGUGAAGGGACAGAGAAAUAACUUCUUUUCUUUCUUUUUGUCUUUGUGCUUGGACUGUACUUUUUAAUCUUCCGUGUUGGUCUGGGAGCUGAAACCAGCUUUCUUGCUUUUCCAGUGACAGACCCAAAGACUACAGUUUGAUAUAUUAUGAUCACUUCCCCUUCACUUCCUCUGAUCACCCUCUAGAAGGCAGCAGUCUUUUCUGCUAACCUUCACAGAUACUGAUCAAAGUAUGAGCUCAUCCUGUGGACCAAGCCCUCCAAGGGGUUUGUACCCUGCAGGCAUCAGAUGGACCAUGGUGCGACUUCUGAGUCAGCAAGGAAGAUGGCAGCAUCUGGACAAUAAAUUUUACCGUGGUAGCUUUUGAUACCUGCACAACCAGUGCAGAGAAAUUUGGAGCCUUGAAGGAGGGAGCUUGGUCAUCUUGAUUUGUCCGACUGAGGGAUUUAAAGACCACCUUAUCACUCGAUGGAACAGCCAAGACCACUCAGAUUCAGCAGAAGAUCAUCAGUCUUCCAAAACACUGCAAGAGUUGUGCAGUUUCACGUGUGGUCUGACCUGUACUUGUGGAGCUAAUGGGAACUCUGAUGUGUGCAUCUGGUUGAGAAUACUUUGCAGUACCACGCUGAGCACAACCAAACUGCAGAGCCUUCCAAAGAGGUUGGCUGGCCGGCUGAUCACUUUUGCUGUUGCAGUCAUCCUGGGAGCAAAACGUCCACGACAGAAGAUGGGCAGACAUUAAAAGAAGUUGGAAAGAGUCAGAAGUUAACAAAGGAGUGGAAUAUCAUGCAGCUGAAGUGGAAGGAUGUUCUAGAGAUACACUUUUGCUAGUUUCGCAGUAUUUUGGAAACAUUAGAAGUUUAGGCUUUCAGUGGGCAUAUCUAAUCAUAAAGAAGAAAAUGAUACUAGUGGUAGCCUUUGUUAGGGUGUCCAUAACUCAGUACUUCCCCUAUUGUCACAGACUUCUAUGUUGGAUUCAUCCAUCCUUAGGUAAUUGUCUAAAACCGACACCAAGAGAUGCCCUCUCAAGUGACCUUUCACUGAUAAAAGCAGGAAACCUGGCUUAAAGCAGGGGCUUAAAAGUUAAAUGGCUACAUUUAAGGGAGAUUAAUUCUACUCCCAGCACUUAAUCUACAUUAAUCAUCAGGGCUCAGUCUCUCAUCUCCAGAAAGACACAUGGAGCAUGCAUCCCAUUCUUGGAUGGGAGUUUAUGGGAGCUGGGAUAAACCAUCCUCCAAAGUGUCAGUUCUCUGCACUGACUACAGAGAGGAAUGAGAGAGCUCUUCAGAAAGGUUCUGCAGAGAUUUUCUUAGAAAAUCAGGCAGGGUGAGUGCAGAUUUUGACCUUUUUGUGGCGGAGGGACAGAGAUUUUCAAGACCAAGUGCCCUUAGCACUGGAUUAAAUGCCUAAAACUAGGCAUUUAAACUAGUCAAAACUAGUCAACUAGGGAAGUACUUAUUUCUACUCAUGGUCUAUUUUGCUUGAAUUAAGGAUUCAAUUUAAGCAUCACCUGUAAAUGUGAAGUUUUUGCCUUCCAAGAUACAGAUGCGUAUAACAGAUAUCUGCCAGAUGGAGGUAGAGUUUCUAGUGGUGUUGCCAUAGGACUGAAGCACACAGUAGGAAGUUUAUUUCAGUUUCAAAAGUGAAGAUUAGUGCAACAGAGGCAAGAAUGAUCUGUCUCUAUUCUCUUUUCUCUCUUGAAUUGACGAACACUCACAAAUCAACUCUUUGAAAGAGUAGAUAACAGCAGGACGAGGGCAAAUGGUUUUAAGCUGAAGGAGGAAAGGUUUAGGUUGGAUGUCAGGGGGAAGUUCUUUACUAUGAGAGUGGUGAGGUGCUGGAACAGGAUGCCCAGAGAGAUUGUGGAUGCCCCAUCCCUGAAGGUGUUCAAGGCCAGGUAGGAUGGGGCCCUGGGCAGCCUGGUCUAGUAUUAAACUGGGAGGUUGGUGGCCCUGCCUGUGGCAGGGGGGUUGUAGAUUCAUGAUCCUUGAGGUCCCUUCCAACCUGGGCCAUUCUAUGAUUCUGUGAUUCUGUGAAAUCAGGAUGACAGUGGGGAAGAGCUGACCUUUUUAUUUACAAUAAAUACAUUUAAAUGGUAUAGGGGGAUCAAGAGCAGCAUAUUACUUUGGCCAUGCUACAAAUUUUCUUGCACAAUUUCCUCAAAAGUUGAAUGAAUUUCAAGGCUAACCUGCAUACAUUUUUAAUUAAGAGAAAAGCAUUUAUCCUUUGGAUGGGUGAGAGCACUGAAUCUGACCAACACUCUUCAGAAGCUCCCAGCCCCCUGCUUUAUUCCGUGAACUUACACUCCCAGAAAUGUGGCACAGCUUUAUAUUUCACAGCAUCCAUAACGUGGAUUUAUCAAAGGUCACUAUGGCAACAUUCAGGCAGUCUGAGACAAAUACGAGUAUGAGCAUAGAAACAGGACAAAACAAACUGAAAUCGCCCCGUUCCCACCCUGCCUUGUACCCUGGCCCUCCAGCUCCAAAUUUAGACAACCACUGUUAUUAAUACUCCGGUCGAUAUUACCUCAGUGGAGGUUGAAAAGCAGAAGAGAGUUCACAGCGCUCACAGGGAGAGGAAUAUCACUGCGGUAUAGGCAUGCUACGUGCAUGGGAUCGCUGGGGCUAUGGGUAGCGCUGCAGAAUAAUUGUAUUGGCAUGUGUGAAUUCUGGGAAUCAGAACCUCCUCGUAUUUGUUUUGGCCGGGUUUCCAUGACAAUAAGUGCACUUGCUACUAAUUCUCUAGUUUAUUACUUGUCUUUAUUCCUUGUAUUUGGGGGAGGGGAUUAUUCACAUCCGCGGUGGAAUUCCAGGCUUUAUGUAGUUAAACCUGAACUUUUUGAGAGUGUAUACAUAUACAUACAUAAAUAUAUAUGUGAGAAUACAAGGUACUCAAUCAAAAAUCUCUAUAUUGACAGUGAUACACGUUUUCAGAAUGGACUGAAAAAAUUUGAGGUAUAUUACUCUUCUUUUAUUAAUCAUAUCUUAAACUGUUCUUCUGGAUAUAUCUUAACCACAAUUAAAUUUAUAAGGUCUUCUUUUCCCCCUUAUUUUGUUCAUUUUGGUAAAUGAUACACUUUUAACAUUUUAUACCCCGUGAAGAAGGAAAAGUGUCCAAAAGAUGAAGGCGUUCAGAAUUGUUUUUCCUUUCUCUCUUCAUGUACUUAUUCAUACUUUGUUACAUAGGGUACACGCAGACCAAUACACACACACAAAUCUAUAUGAAAGAGCAUCAAUGGAAGUACGGUUGCAAAGUGAACUUCUCAGUAAUUAAGAUAAGGCAAAAUAAAAGUUCCUUGUGAAACUUUACCUUUCUCCCUUUUACUACAUGUUAUCUUGCAACUUACUGAUCUGGUAGCCUUCCAUUUGUAAACGGGAACCUCCCAUGGUGAGAACCGUCCUCUGAUAGCAGGCAGUAAUUUGUUACAGAGUUAGCUUUACUGUGCGGUAGUUGCUUCCACA
ensembl:lncRNA